AGUGAACGCUGGCGGUAGGCCUAACACAUGCCAGUCGAACGGCAGCACAGUAAGAGCUUGCUCUUACGGGUGGCGAGUGGCGGACGGGUGAGGAAUACAUCGGAAUCUACUUUUUCGUGGGGGAUAACGUAGGGAAACUUACGCUCAUACCGCAUACGACCUACGGGUGAAAGCAGUGGAUCUUCGGACCUUGCGCGAUUGAAUGAGCCGAUGUCGGAUUAGCUAGUUGGCGGGGUAAAGGCCCACCAAGGCGACGAUCCGUAGCUGGUCUGAGAGGAUGAUCAGCCACACUGGAACUGAGACACGGUCCAGACGCCUACGGGAGGCAGCAGUGGGGAAUAUUGGACAAUGGGCGCAAGCCUGAUCCAGCCAUACCGCGUGGGUGAAGAAGGCCUUCGGGUUGUAAAGCCCUUUUGUUGGGAAAGAAAAGCAGCAGGUUAAUACCCCGCUGUUCUGACGGUACCCAAAGAAUAAGCACCGGCUAACUUCGUG
rnacentral:rRNA from 1 species